rnacentral:rRNA from 1 species
AUUGAACGCUGGCGGCAGGCCUAACACUUGCAAGUCGAGCGGAUGAAGGGAGCUUGCUCCUGGAUUCAGCGGCGGACGGGUGAGUAAUGUCUAGGAAUCUGCCUGGUAGUGGGGGAUAACGUCCGGAAACGGGCGCUAAUACCGCAUACGUCCUGAGGGAGAAAGUGGGGGAUCUUCGGACCUCACGCUAUCAGAUGAGCCUAGGUCGGAUUAGCUAGUUGGUGGGGUAAAGGCCUACCAAGGCGACGAUCCGUAACUGGUCUGAGAGGAUGAUCAGUCACACUGGAACUGAGACACGGUCCAGACUCCUACGGGAGGCAGCAGUGGGGAAUAUUGGACAAUGGGCGAAAGCCUGAUCCAGCCAUGCCGCGUGUGUGAAGAAGGUCUUCGGAUUGUAAAGCACUUUAAGUUGGGAGGAAGGGCAGUAAGUUAAUACCUUGCUGUUUUGACGUUACCAACAGAAUAAGCACCGGCUAACUUCGUG